GGGCGGUUAGCUCAGCUGGUUAGAGUGUUGCGUUGACAUCGCAAAGGUCACUGGUUCGACUCCAGUACCGCCCACCA
rnacentral:tRNA from 1 species